rnacentral:rRNA from 1 species
ACGGCUACCUUGUUACGACUUAGCCCCAGUCACCGGUUUUACCCUAGGGCGCUCCUUGCGGUCACGCACUUCAGGCACUCCCGGCUUCCAUGGCUUGACGGGCGGUGUGUACAAGGCCCGGGAACGUAUUCACCGCGCCGUGGCUGAUGCGCGAUUACUAGCGAAUCCAGCUUCAUGGAGUCGGGUUGCAGACUCCAAUCCGAACUGAGACAGGAUUUCGGGUUCCGCUCCCUGUCGCCAGGUGGCUUCCCGCUGUGCCUGCCAUUGUAACACGUGUGUCGCCCCGGACGUAAGGGCCGUGCUGAUUUGACGUCAUCCCCGCCUUCCUCACAGCUUGCGCCGGCAGUCCCGACAGAGUGCCCAGCCUGACCUGAUGGCAACUGUCGGUGGGGGUUGCGCUCGUUAUGGCACUUAAGCCGACACCUCACGGCACGAGCUGACGACAACCAUGCAGCACCUCGCAGGAGGCUCCGAAGAGCUGCCUCCUUUCAAAAACAUCCCUCCUGCGUUUGAGCCCGGGUAAGGUUCCUCGCGUAUCAU